rnacentral:rRNA from 1 species
GACGAACGCUGGCGGCGUGCCUAAUACAUGCAAGUCGAACGAACGGAUAAAGAGCUUGCUCUUUUGAAGUUAGUGGCGGACGGGUGAGUAACACGUGGGUAACCUGCCUCACAGCUGGGGAUAACAUCGAGAAAUCGAUGCUAAUACCGAAUGUGCUGAACAUCAUAAGAUGUUCAAGUGAAAGACGGUUUCGGCUGUCACUGUGAGAUGGACCCGCGCUGGAUUAGCUAGUUGGUAAGGUAAUGGCUUACCAAGGCGACGAUCCAUAGCCGACCUGAGAGGGUGAUCGGCCACAUCGGGACUGAGACACGGCCCAAACUCCUACGGGAGGCAGCAGUAGGGAAUCUUCGGCAAUGGACGAAAGUCUGACCGAGCAACGCCGCGUGAGCGAAGAAGGCCUUCGGGUCGUAAAGCUCUGUUGUUAGAGAAGAACAUGGGUGAGAGUAACUGUUCACCCCUUGACGGUAUCUAACCAGAAAGCCACGGCUAACUACGUG